GUUACACUAAAGCUAGUAUAAUCUACAAUUACACAUUUACCUUUAAUUAGAUUUGUUGUUUCUCGAUGCACAAUUUGCCGCAUGUGAAAGUCUUUCCAGAGUCCAUACCACUUCAACAAGUGUGAUUUCUAGAAGCUCAGAUUGAAGAUCAGGAGAAACAAAUUGCAACAUUGAGAUGGAUUGACAGCUUUAUAAAGGGUUUACUG